GGGGUUGUAGCUCAGUGGUAGAGUGCUUGCAUUGCACGCAUGAGGCACUGAGUUUGAUCCUCAACACUA
rnacentral:tRNA from 1 species